rnacentral:rRNA from 1 species
AGAAUCAACGCUGGCGGCGUGCCUCAGACAUGCAAGUCGAACGCGAAAGUUCCCUUCGGGGAGCGAGUAGAGUGGCGCACGGGUGAGUAACACGUAGGUAAUCUACCUUUGGGUGGGGAAUAACAGCCGGAAACGGCUGCUAAUACCGCAUAAUGCAGCGGCUCGACAUCGAGACAGUUGUUAAAGCGGGGGAUCGCAAGACCUCGCGCCUAAAGAGGAGCCUGCGGCGGAUUAGCUAGUUGGUGGGGUAAUGGCUCACCAAGGCAUCGAUCCGUA